rnacentral:rRNA from 1 species
UUGAACGCUGGCGGCAGGCCUCACACAUGCAAGUCGAGCGGAUGAAGGGAGCUUGCUCCUGGAUUCAGCGGCGGACGGGUGAGUAAUGCCUAGGAAUCUGCCUGGUAGUGGGGGAUAACGUCCGGAAACGGGCGCUAAUACCGCAUACGUCCUGAGGGAGAAAGUGGGGGAUCUUCGGACCUCACGCUAUCAGAUGAGCCUAGGUCGGAUUAGCUAGUUGGUGGGGUAAAGGCCUACCAAGGCGACGAUCCGUAACUGGUCUGAGAGGAUGAUCAGUCACACUGGAACUGAGACACGGUCCAGACUCCUACGGGAGGCAGCAGUGGGGAAUAUUGGACAAUGGGCGAAAGCCUGAUCCAGCCAUGCCGCGUGUGUGAAGAAGGUUUUCGGAUUGUAAAGCACUUUAAGUUGGGAGGAAGGGCAGUAAGUUAAUACCUUGCUGUUUUGACGUUACCAACAGAAUAAGCACCGGCUAACUUCGUG